rnacentral:rRNA from 1 species
GACGAACGCUGGCGGCGUGCUUAACACAUGCAAGUCGAACGGAAAGGCCCUGCUUUUGUGGGGUGCUCGAGUGGCGAACGGGUGAGUAACACGUGAGUAACCUGCCCUUGACUUUGGGAUAACUUCAGGAAACUGGGGCUAAUACCGGAUAGGAGCUCCUGCUGCAUGGUGGGGGUUGGAAAGUUUCGGCGGUUGGGGAUGGACUCGCGGCUUAUCAGCUUGUUGGUGGGGUAGUGGCUUACCAAGGCUUUGACGGAUAGCCGGCCUGAGAGGGUGACCGGCCACAUUGGGACUGAGAUACGGCCCAGACUCCUACGGGAGGCAGCAGUGGGGAAUACUGCACAAUGGGCGGAAGCCUGAUGCAGCAACGCCGCGUGCGGGAUGACGGCCUUCGGGUUGUAAACCGCUUUCGCCUGUGACGAAGCGUGAGUGACGGUAAUGGGUAAAGAAGCACCGGCUAACUACGUG